GCGCUCAUAGCUCAGCUGGAUAGAGCAUUUGAUUGCGGUUCAAAAGGCCAGAGGUUCAAAUCCUCUUGAGCGCACCA
rnacentral:tRNA from 4 species